GGCCCAAAUGUGAAGUAGAGUAGGUUAGUAUGGUCAGCUGAUCCUACUGAUCUACUCUAUUCCAAGUUCGCGCCC
rfam:Haemonchus contortus, ISE/inbred ISE, WGS project CAVP01000000 data, contig: Hcontortus_33768